UACAGAGGGUGCAAGCGUUAAUCGGAAUUACUGGGCGUAAAGCGUGCGUAGACGGUUAUUAAGUCAGGUGAUGAAAGCCCCGGGCUCAACCCUGGAAUUGCAAUUUGAGACGUGAAUAGCUAGGGUGCGGAAGAGGGAAGCGGAAUUUCCGGUGUAGCGGUGAAAUGACGUAGAUAUCAGGAGGAACACCUAUGGCGAAGGCAGCUCGCUGGGACGGUACUGACGCUGAGGCGCGAAAGCGUGGGGAGCGAACAGG
rnacentral:rRNA from 1 species